rnacentral:tRNA from 1 species
UGGCACAGUGGUUAAAGCAUUCGGCUGCUAGCCGAAAGGUUGGUGGUUUGAACCCACC